CAGCAGCCGCGGUAAUACCGAGGGUGCAAGCGUUAAUCGGAAUUACUGGGCGUAAAGCGCGCGUAGGUGGUUUGUUAAGUUGGAUGUGAAAGCCCCGGGCUCAACCUGGGAACUGCAUCCAAAACUGGCAAGCUAGAGUACGGUAGAGGGUGGUGGAAUUUCCUGUGUAGCGGUGAAAUGCGUAGAUAUAGGAAGGAACACCAGUGGCGAAGGCGACCACCUGGACUGAUACUGACACUGAGGUGCGAAAGCGUGGGGAGCAAACAGGAUUAGAUACCCCAGUAGUCCCUGUCUCUUAUAC
rnacentral:rRNA from 1 species